GUGAAAAUGUUCAUCUCUGUUCAUGACAAGACAAAUGGGUGUAACCAUUAAUCUAGAUUUAAUAGUUUUGAAUUCAGGGUUACGCCCUUUAAAGGAGUCGUUAAGUGUUGGACACUGUAGUCAGUGAAGCAGGAAAACACACUGGACCGAAGAAUUCUUAGCAUCCAUCACAGAUUACAAAGACCGUUUACUUGACUGAUAGCUUGAAGACCAAAUGGAAUUUAGACCUCCUCAGGUGGUUUCCACAGUUGACAGAUAAACACUGUUAUAUGGAAGCAAAUCAGACUCAUCAGAUUCUGAAUUUUAAAAGCUGCUGAAUUUCUUACUUUGAAUUUUUUGGCAUCAAAAUUAUGUAUGUGAAUUUUUUAUGCCUGAAUUUAGCUCAUCAAAAUUCUAAAAACCAGUUAAAAAUUCAAUGUCUUCAAAAUUUGCCAUCAAAAAAAUUUAAUCUCUUCAAAAUUCGCCAUCAAAAAAAUUUGAUGUGUUCAAAAUUCACCAUCAAAAAAUUCAAUGUUCAUAAUUCGCCAUCAAAAAAUUCAAUGUUAAAAAAUUCGCUGUCAAAAAAUUCGCUGUACUCAGGCGUAAACAAUCGAUCCUGGCCAAAAUCGAGCCAACGCCCAGCAAAUCACGUGGCGCUCCUCCGGUCAUGUGACGCAGACGGUUCACCUCACAAGACCGGGGUCAACCACAGCUACCAGCAUGAACGACGGCGCUUCAAUGCACAAUGAGGGACGUCUGCAGCGACUGAGAAAGAGUCUCACCACAUCCUGACAUGAGGAAAAAGACUUUAUUGAAGACUACAAUGAGAAAAACUAUCCAGACAGCAGACGGCUGCAUUCAAGGUGAGCUCUGAACAUUUGAUCUGGAACAGGAAUUCAAUAACGGCAGCAUGAGCUUCAUUUCAGUCUGUAGCUGCUGAAUUCAUGGAUGAAUCAUCUGGCACUAGAGAGCAAGACCAUCAAACAUCCAUGUCAGCUGAUGGAGGCCCAAGAGUCUCACCAAACAAACAACCUACAGAGUGAAGACCUCCAAUCUGAUUGGACGGCCUCCUAUUCAGCCACAUGUGAACAAAUGCCUCUAAGCUGAUUUGUUUUCUAAAAUAAAUCUAGUUUGUGUCCUAAUCAA